rnacentral:rRNA from 1 species
CACGUAGAGUGCGAGCGUUGUCCGGAAUUAUUGGGCGUAAAGAGCUCGUAGGCGGUGUGUCGCGUCGGCCGUGAAAACUUGGGGCUUAACUCUGAGCGUGCGGUCGAUACGGGCAUCACUUGAGUUCGGCAGGGGAGACUGGAAUUCCUGGUGUAGCGGUGAAAUGCGCAGAUAUCAGGAGGAACACCGGUGGCGAAGGCGGGUCUCUGGGCCGAUACUGACGCUGAGGAGCGAAAGCGUGGGGAGCGAACAGG